GACGAACGCUGGCGGCGUGCUUAACACAUGCAAGUCGAACGGAAAGGCCCUGCUUUUGUGGGGUGCUUGAGUGGCGAACGGGUGAGUAACACGUGAGUACCCUGCCCUUGACUUUGGGUUAACUUCAGGAAACUGGGGAUAAUACCGGAUCGGAGCUCCUGCUCCAUGGUGGGGGUUGGAAAGUUGCGGCGGUUGGGGAUGGACUCGCGGCUUAUCAGCUUGUUGGUGGGGUAGUGGCAUACCAAGGCUUUGACCGGUAGGCGGCCUGAGAGGGGGACCGGGCACCAGAGGCCUAAGGGAGGGACCAGGGUGCAACGUGGGACAACGGGCGCGAGUAUGACACAGUAAGCCGGAGCCUGAUACGAAGACGCCGCGGGCGGGAUGACCGCCUGCAGGUUAUGAACCGCUUUCGCCUGUGACGAAGCGUUAAUGACGGUAAUGGAUAAAGAAGCACCGGCUAACUACGUG
rnacentral:rRNA from 1 species